rnacentral:rRNA from 1 species
UUGGAGGGCAAGUCUGGUGCCAGCAGCCGCGGUAAUUCCAGCUCCAAUAGCGUAUAUUAAAGUUGUUGCAGUUAAAAAGCUCGUAGUUGAAUUUCGGGGUUAGUAGGUUGGUCAUGCCUCUGGUAUGUACUGGUCUCACUGAUUCCUCCUUCCUGAUGAGCCGUAAUGCCAUUAAUUUGGUGUUGCGGGGAAUUUGGACUGUUACUUUGAAAAAAUUAGAGUGUUUAAAGCAAGCUAACGCUUGAAUACAUUAGCAUGGAAUAAUGAAAUAGGACGUUCGAUCCUAUUUUGUUGGUUUCUAGGAUUGACGUAAUGAUUAAUAGGGAUAGUUGGGGGCAUUAGUAUUCAAUUGUCAGAGGUGAAAUUCUUGGAUUUAUUGAAGACUAACUACUGCGAAAGCAUUUGCCAAGGAUGUUUUCAUUAAUCAAGAACGAAAGUUAGGGGAUCGAAGACAAUCAGAUACCGUCGUAGUCUUAACCAUAAACUAUGCCGACUAGGGAUCGGAUGAUGUUAAUUUUUUAAUGACUCAUUCGGCGCCUUACGGGAAAC